UAGGGAAUCUUCCACAAUGGACGCAAGUCUGAUGGAGCAACGCCGCGUGAGUGAAGAAGGGUUUCGGCUCGUAAAGCUCUGUUGUUAAAGAAGAACGUGGGUAAGAGUAACCGUUUACCCAGUGACGGUAUUUAACCAGAAAGCCACGGCUAACUACGUGCCAG
rnacentral:rRNA from 1 species